rnacentral:rRNA from 1 species
GACGAACGCUGGCGGCGUGUCUAAUACAUGCAAGUAGAACGCUGAAGGAGGAGCUUGCUUCUCUGGAUGAGUUGCGAACGGGUGAGUAACGCGUAGGUAACCUGCCUGGUAGCGGGGGAUAACUAUUGGAAACGAUAGCUAAUACCGCAUAAUAGCAGUUGUUGCAUGAUAACUGUUUGAAAGGUGCAAUUGCACCACUACCAGAUGGACCUGCGUUGUAUUAGCUAGUUGGUGGGGUAACGGCUCACCAAGGCGACGAUACAUAGCCGACCUGAGAGGGUGAUCGGCCACACUGGGACUGAGACACGGCCCAGACUCCUACGGGAGGCAGCAGUAGGGAAUCUUCGGCAAUGGACGGAAGUCUGACCGAGCAACGCCGCGUGAGUGAAGAAGGGUUUCGGAUCGUAAAGCUCUGUUGUAAGAGAAGAACGAGUGUGAGAGUGGAAAGUUCACACUGUGACGGUAUCUUACCAGAAAGAGACGGCUAACUACGUG